GUUGGCCAAAAAGUUCAUUUGGGUUUUUCCAUAUUCUCUUUCCAUACUCUCUCUUAUGGGAAAAACUCUAUGAAUUUUCUGGACAACUCA
rnacentral:miRNA from 1 species